GUCGUUUCCUAGCAUCCUUUGCGGUUGGUCGUUACAUCGUGUGUUGUGGCAGUGCUCUUUGUGAGGCUGGAGGCUGCUUCGAGUCAAUCUGUUCUCAUCGUUUUAACUAUGAAGCGUGUGCCUGUGGCUGUUCAGCGUGCCGGUAUCAAGAGACCACGUGUGCGCCGGUCAGCAUCGCGGCCACGUGAUGCACCAACUGAACCUGCCGGCGUGAGCUGAUGAACGCUCCACUGUGGAGCACCAGAUGAACCUGCCGGCGUAAGCUGAAUGCCCUGGUUUGGAGCACUGUCCAUGGCGGCGGCAGCUGAAUGCUCUGCUGUGGAGGGGCAACAAUCUGCACUCCUGCAUGCAGGAGGUGAGUAUUGCAAGCACUUGCAGUCAUUGAUUCCUCGUGAUGAACUUAUAGUCUCGUUCGUAUGAAAAUACUGAUUCAAUUAAAUUUCCUGAUCCUUUGCUGACUUGGUGAGAUAUUGGUUUUGUGUGCCGUUUCAGUAAUUGCACUUAGUUUUUCAGGACGAGGAAGUAGAACCAAAGACUGUACAUGAGUCCUGGUGGAUGUGACAUCAGUUCUAUCUCCAAGGUUUGUUUGUGCACCAGCUUGGUUAACUUGCUUGUUGUUGUGAUGAUUAAGUUGUUCAUACUUUUCAUGGUGAAGUACAUUGCCCUCUCUGAUAACACAAGUUCUCUCAUGGGUUUGAAAAGUCCACUGCUAUCGUUAAACAUUAUCCUUUAUUCCAGGUUUCCUCGAACUGCCCAUCCAGUCUAAUGCAAUUGGUCAGAAGGUUGGUAUGUUCUCCCUCAAGCCUCGUUACGUAGUUUGGCGUUUGUCAGGAUAACGUCAAACUAUUCCAGUCUGUUUUUAUUCCGA
rnacentral:lncRNA from 1 species